UUUAUUUUUCUCGCUAUGCAGACGAUGUUUCGAGGUGGACACAGGGGCCGGCGUUGUCGGGGUGCUUGAGGAGCGUUGCCGGAGGGUCAUUGGUCUUCUUCGCCGGCUGUCGGUCACGCUUCGAGGGUGAUUGAAGCAUGCCGCCAAAAAAAAGGGGUGGCGGUCUUAAAAAGAAGCUCAAGGACUUGGUAGGUGUAGGGACUUCGAGGCGGGGCCCCCCACCUAGCCCCCCUCCUAGCCCCCCCUCCUGUCGCUCCCACAGGGCGGCCGCGUAGGAAGAAUGCGACGCGGGUACUCACUCCUAGUCCUAGCCCCCCUCCCGCAGCCGAUGAUGAUGACGAGGAGGAGGAGGUGGGUGGGGAGGACCAGGAGGAGGAGGUGGGUGGGGAGGACCAGGAGGAGGAGGGGGGUGGGGAGGACCAGGAGGAGGAGGGGGACGAGGAGGACCUCUCGGAGGAUGAGGGGUUGGGGAACUUAGUGUUCGAUCCUGAUCCAAGCCUAGAGUGGUGUGAGCCGGAGGAUUACCAGUACGUUCCAGCUUUGGAGAGGCUGAGGCCACGUGAUAGGAAGCCAUAUCGGCGUGGGAUAACACAGCUCCCCUCGCUGAGAAGCUGGCGCUACAGGCACGUUGUUCUUGUGCCCUAUGGAAGGAGCUCGUUCCAGC